rnacentral:misc_RNA from 1 species
AAGUCGUAACAAGGUUUCCGUAGGUGAACCUGCGGAAGGAUCAUUAACACGUAUCCAACGUUAAACCCCCCUGUGAAUUUUAUCGCAGCUCUUGCAGUUGCCACAAGUUUGCAAUCCCUGGUAAAUCAUUGUUGAACAGGUUUUGAUUCAGGGACCUCAGGCUUGGGUGGCUGCAAUUCGAGCGCUGGUGCAAGCGGCCUAGUUUCCCCAAGCAGUCAGUGUCUGAAAGUGUCGCUGAUUGUGCAAGGAAAACGCUUUACGAUCACUGGAGGCCAACACGGCCGGUGACUGGGCUGCUGUGGCUUUAUGCCCCCUCUAUAUUAACCCCACUACCUGAACUCGGGUUGUAGGAAACUACUGCCCUUCAAAUUCGAACAACUGUUAACAAUGGAUAUCUUGGUUCUC